CUCGUGCAAACUUCCAUUCCCCUACCUAACGGUUACCAAACAAGCUAUUACAGAAAAAGAAUGCUUUGCAAUUACAUAAGUUUAAGAGGGCAUGGAUGCAAUAUCGCCAAUAAAAAUGAAGACUAAUCACUACUCUGCCGGAGGCAGCGGCAGAGAUAAGCUUUGUUGUUUCGCCCUGUCUCUGGCUUCAGUAAUUGACUAGAGGUGGCUGUUGCACUAGUCUCCAAAUAACCAGGAGUCAACCCACCGUUCAUCGAACGUUCAGAGUUUUCUUUGAAGGGGAACAGCCCUCGGAGCUCCCCAAGCCGCAUUCAUGGGUUCGUCGCUGGGGGGAGAGGAGGAGGAACGGAUCCUGCUAGCGCGCGCGACGCCGCCGGAGAACUUUGAUGAAUACACAGGCGAUGGCUCAGUUGAUUUCAGAGGCCACCCUAUUUUAAAGCAUAAUACAGGCAACUGGAGAGCAUGCUCAUUGAUUCUUGGAACUGAAGUGUGCGAACGCUUAGCCUACUAUGGGAUCUCCAAAAGUUUGGUCACUUAUCUUUCAACUAGACUGCAUGAAGGCAAUGUGUCUGCAGCUAGAAACUUCACAACCUGGCAAGGAACUUGUUAUCUCACACCACUUAUUGGAGCAACCUUAGCAGAUUCUUACUGGGGAAAGUAUCGGACUAUUGCUGUUUUCUCAACUAUUUACUUUCUUGGGAUGUCAGCAUUGACGCUUUCAGCAUUGGUUCCUUAUCUCCAGCCCCCUCAAUGUAUUGGGUCUUUUUGUCCAAAACCAGCCUUACACCAGUAUUUGAUAUACUUCGUUGGACUAUACAUGAUUGCUUUAGGGGCUGGAGGUAUCAAGCCAUGUGUUUCGUCCUUCGGUGCAGACCAAUUUGAUGAUACCGAUUCAGUUGAGCGAACAAAGAAAGGCGCUUUCUUCAAUUGGUUUUAUUUCUCCAUAAAUAUCGGUUCAUUGAUCUCUGGCACUGUUCUUAUUUGGGUACAAGAAAAAUAUGGAUAUGGUAUUGGAUUUGCAAUCCCUACCUUUUUCAUUGCCCUAGCUAUCGGAAGCUUUUUUCUAGGCUCAGAGGUAUACAGAUUUCAGAUACCUGGAGGAAGCCCUCUUACAAGAGCAUGCCAGGUAGUUGUUGCAGCCAUUUACAAGCGAAAUGUGGACUUGCCAGUUGAUAGUUCUCUUCUCUAUGAGUGUCAUGGUAAGAGAUCAGCUAUCGAGGGGAGCCGCAAGCUGGAGCACAGCAGUGAAUUCAGGUACUUUUCUUGGUUAUCAUCAGGAAUCAUUUGCUGUGUAAGAUGCUAUUACCUUACCAAAUUAAUUAGUGGCAAAAACUGUUCAGAUGGUGGAGUUCAGAAUGCUGUUCUGCAAGAAAUAAAAACAUAUUUGUUGAAGUUUAAGAAUUAAAUAAAAUAGUUUACAAUUUAACAAAAAAGUAUGCUACUAUAUUGAUCUAACACUCACGUGCUUGCAAAGCUUGUGUCUUGGGACUUCCUGGACACAGCAACCCCUUUUCAGAACCAUGACAGGUAAACCUUACACGAGAUGUAAGUAGCAUAAGAUUCGCAUACCCACUGACCCGAUGCAUAUUUGCCCUCUACAGUUUCCUUGACAAAUCUGCAGUCAUUUUGCGGAGUGAAUGCGGCGAUAUUCAUAAUCCUUGGAGGCUUUGCACUGUCACACAGAUUGAAGAGCUCAAAAUAUUAAUGAGGAUGUUUCCAAUCUGGGCAACGGGCAUCGUGUUCUUCACUGUCUGCGCUCAGAAUUCAUCAAUGUUCAUAGAGCAAGGGAUGGCACUCAACAACCAAGUGGGAUCAUUCAAGAUCCCGCCAGCCACCCUGUCGUCCUUGGACGUAAUCAGCAUCGUCGUUUGGGUCCCUAUUUAUGAGAGAUUCAUCGUGCCGAUAGCCAGGAGAUUGACUGGUAAGGAGAGGGGCUUCUCGGAGCUCCAGCGCAUGGGGAUCGGUCUUUUUGUGUCCACCAUCGCAGUGGCAGUCGCAGCAUUGGUCGAGAUCAAGCGCCUGGAGAGCGCAAGAUCCGAGGGCCUGGUCCAUCAGAAGGUGCCUGUUUCCAUGAGCAUUCUCUGGCAAGCGCCUCAGUACCUGCUGAUCGGUGUCGGCGAGGUGUUCACGUCCAUCGGUCAGGCUGAGUUCUUCUACAACCAGUCUCCAGACUCCAUGAGAAGCCUGUGCUCGGCUUUUGCCCUUGUCACCGUGUCGCUCGGAAGCUAUCUUAGCUCGUUCAUACUGACCCUGGUGUCGUAUCUUACGACGAGGGGGGAGCAGAUGGGGUGGAUUCCUGACAACCUGAACGAAGGCCACCUUGACCGCUUCUUCUGGCUCAUUGCUGGCCUCAGCUCCCUGAAUUUUCUUGCUUUCCUUUAUUUUGCACAGCAGUACAAGUGCAAGAAAGCUUCUGUACUUUAAUGUUUUCUGCUUUGCCAUGUAUUGUACAGAAAGUUGCGUGCAUAUUUCCCUCAUGAACAGGCUAACAAUGUACAGUCUUCUGUAAUGUACGGUCUUGUAUCCUUUGAUAGUUGGAUACAUUCGUUACUUGGACAGUGGAAUAGUUUACUUUUCCCUCUUGUUAAUGAAGCUUAUAAAAC
rnacentral:rRNA from 1 species